GGGCAAGGGGGGCAAAGACAUGUACCAGAUCGGGCAGCAGACGCGGGCCCACGAGGGCAGCGUGUUCGCGCUCUGCCGCCGCCGCGACGGGACCGUGCUGAGCGGGGGCGGGAAGGACCGCAGGGUGCUCUGCUGGAGCCCCUCGCUGGAGCUGCUGCACGAGGUCGAGCUCCCCGAGAGCUUUGG